UUCGUGCGAACCACUGAAGACUGAACAUAUUAACAAGUUGUAUAAUGGUCAAGUAACAAUAGUUAUUAACUUUGAUUUAUUUAUGAAUGGUUGUAUUUAUGAUGUUAAUGUUUGUAACUGUUACUUUAAGUAUUACAAUGACAAGAAUUUAAUGCUAUCUUCAUGGCCAUUUCACUCUUAGAAUAACAUCCGUUUGAAAUGCCAGUUGCUGUAAAGUAAUUAUUAGAUUCAUCACUACACACUUCUGGUUGAAAACAUUGAUUCGGUUAUAAGUAAACAAGCAUAAUUUGUAAUAUAAUGAAAUGGCUCUGCUAACAAUACAGUGAACUAACAUUAAAAAUACCCUUGCUCACACAAAAUACAUGAAACGUAACAUUAUAGUUCAAAUAAAACAUCAAAUUUUAUCUCCUUCUUAAACAAUGGUUAUCAAACUGCCAUGAAAAUAGCCACUGUGGAUGAAUGACGGACAUAUUUUAUAUAAUGAUAGUAUACUUUAGUACUUGUACUCUCAUGACAUAACUUAUCGACAACAGGGGACCAUGUGGUCUUUCAAGACUCACCUUGCACACCCACCUUGAGAAAAGUAAAAAUUUAAACCCACAAUUAAUUUUUUUAUUUUCGUGUAAAUCAUUUAUUUUCCCUUCUUUCACUGCUGCUGAUGCAACUCAUCCCAUAAGUCAGUUACCAUGUUAAAUAAAUAAAACCAAAGUCUACCCUGUCCUUUUCCAAAUCCUAAACUUGUGUCCUAUUGACUUCAGAAUAUAGAUAACCUUCCAAACUUCACUUGUAACUCUACCCAAGAGACCUCAACGUGUCCCUGUAAGAAAACCCUUCUGUCUAGGGAAUAAUCCUAAUAGUCCUUUUCUGAUCCCUUUCCAAUAAGUUAAUAUCCUAUCUUUGAGUCCAAAACUCCAUAAUAUUCCAAGUAAAGCCUAACUAGUUAUCUGCAUAGAGAAAUAAUGAUCUUUUUUGACUUUUAAUUAAUAUUAGAUAUAAAUACACCCUAAGAUUUUAUUUACAUAAUGUAUAUUUUUAUAAAUCUUGGGAAAUCAGAGAAAAACAACAACAACAUAAAAGCAUAGUACAAGUUUUUAACAACUACUGAAAAGAUAGAAAAAAAAAGUCCAUAUUUUGAUGUUUUAAUAGAAAACUUUAUCUUUUCCCAAAAAAUAGGUUUUUCACCUGCUUUGGUUUGAAAAUGUAUACCAGUGCUUCAAGAAUAAAAUCCACAUCUGUGUAGGUGAUGUUAACCUAGUAGUGAUCUAACAUGGCCGUGUUUCAAAGUAGCUGGCUAGUUACAGUGGAUCAGAUCAUUUGACAAAGAAUCCUUUCUACUAAGUUCAGUAUUUCAAGUAUUUGAAAAAGGUUCUGGGUCAGUUGACUGUUUGUGUUACCUAUUUCUACAUUCCAGGGUUCUGGGUCAGUUGACUGUUUGUGUUACCUAUUUCUACAUUCCAGGGUUCUGAGUCAGUUGACUGCUUGUGUUACCUAUUCCUACAAACUGGUCUUUUGUAAAGUCAGUGAAGCAUAUGGUUUUAGGAAAGAGUGGAUGAAGGAAGAAAUAAAAGAACUUCAAAGUGGGACAGGUUUUGUAUCUAAUAACAGUCUCAGGAGAUCAAAAUUGACAGUGUAUAAUUACAUGGUCCAGAAGUCCCAACUGAAAACACCUUGAACAUCAUGCCAGGUAAAUGAAGUCUCCUCCACACAAGUUAAACUUGUCAGUAAAGUUCUUUUUUUAAUGUCAAGAUUGGACCAAUUGGAUGCCAGAUUCAAGACUUAUUCUUCUGUUGUUGAAGGAUUCUGACAAAGCUGUAUAUCGGAGCUGAAACUGGUUUGUACUGGAAAGGAUAUUUUCUGUUUGUAUUUCCCCAACAAUUCUUAUUAUGAAAAUAAAUGCUUUUUGUUAUUUCUA
rnacentral:lncRNA from 1 species